rnacentral:rRNA from 1 species
GACAGAGGGUGCAAACGUUGUUCGGAAUUACUGGGCGUAAAGCGCGUGUAGGCUGCCCCGCAAGUCAGGUGUGAAAGCCUGGGCUCAACCUAGGAAGUGCACUUGAAACUGCGGGGAUCGAGGGCUGGAGAGGGAAGCGGAAUUCUCGGUGUAGAGGUGAAAUUCGUAGAUAUCGAGAGGAACACCGGUGGCGAAGGCGGCUUCCUGGACAGUUACUGACGCUGGAGACGCGAAAGCGUGGGGAGCAAACAGG